UGCGAGUCAACGCCGCAAGGCGUGGCAUACGGCUCAGUAACACGUAGUCAACAUGCCCAAAGGACGGGGAUAACCUCGGGAAACUGAGGAUAAACCGCGAUAGGCCAAGGUUUCUGGAAUGAGCCAUGGCCGAAAUCUAUAUGGCCUUUGGAUUGGACUGCGGCCGAUCAGGCUGUUGGUGAGGUAAUGGCCCACCAAACCUGUAACCGGUACGGGCUUUGAGAGAAGGAGCCCGGAGAUGGGCACUGAGACAAGGGCCCAGGCCCUAUGGGGCGCAGCAGGCGCGAAACCUCUGCAAUAGGCGAAAGCUUGACAGGGUUACUCUGAGUGAUGCCCGCUAAGGGUAUCUUUUGGCACCUCUAAAAAUGGUGCAGAAUAAGGGGUGGGCAAGUCUGGUGUCAGCCGCCGCGGUAAUACCAGCACCCCGAGUUGUCGGGACGAUUAUUGGGCCUAAAGCAUCCGUAGCCUGUUCUGCAAGUCCUCCGUUAAAUCCACCUGCUUAACGGAUGGGCUGCGGGGGAUACUGCAGAGCUAGGAGGCGGGAGAGGCAAACGGUACUCAGUGGGUAGGGGUAAAAUCCUUUGAUCUACUGAAGACCACCAGUGGCGAAGGCGGUUUGCCAGAACGCGCUCGACGGUGAGGGAUGAAAGCUGGGGGAGCAAACCGGAUUAGAUACCCGGGUAGUCCCAGCUGUAAACGAUGCAGACUCGGUGAUGGGUUGGCCUCGAGCCAACCCAGUGCCGCAGGGAAGCCGUUAAGUCUGCCGCCUGGGGAGUACGGUCGCAAGACUGAAACUUAAAGGAAUUGGCGGGGGAG
rnacentral:rRNA from 1 species